CUCUCUUUCUCUCUCUUAUAUGCCUAGGGCUCAACAUUUUAUUGAACCAAUAAAUUGUCUUUUGGUGCAUCUAUCUACAAAUGAUUAAUUAUAUCUGCACAUUGUUUGUUUCUCUUCAUAAGAAUUUAUUUAAUUUAUUUUUGUUGGAACUGGGAAAAGAAAUAUCUCAGUUGUAAUCUGAUCUGAUUGUCGUGUUUUAUUGAUUUGGAAUUCUUAGGUGGCUUACGAUAAAGCUAGCAAGUGAAUUAAGCAUUAGAUGAGGCUUUUGCAGUUUGGAUUGUUAGUGUCUUUAGCUUCAGGAGUCGCUACAAUACUCGUCUACCUUACCAGCGUCACCCAUCUCUAUGAAAGUUAUUGGCCUUCGAAUGAAGAUUUGGAAGCCUUGCGGUCUUUGCAGAGCGAUUUCCAGAAGUGUGUGAGAGCAAAUGGAUUAGGUAUACAAGCUGCGAGUGGCAAAGAUUAUUGCCAGGUCAAGAUUAACUUCCCUAGCGACAGCAUCCCCAAAUGGAGAGAUCCUAAAACUGGUGAACUAGAAGGGUUGUCAUUUGAUUUUAAUCUGUGUGAAACUGUGGCUAAAUGGGAACAGGUGCGCAACAGUACCACAAUACUCACCAAAGAAUUCAUUGAUGCUUUGCCAAAUGGAUGGGAGGAAUGUGCGUGGCGCAGGAUCAAUAAGGGAAUACUUCUCAAUCGCUGUGAGAACAAGACUCUAUGCAUGGAGAAACUUUCACUGGUACUCCCUCAAACACCACCAUAUCUUCCCCGACAAUUUGGUCGUUGUGCUGUUAUUGGGAACUCGGGAGAUUUAUUGAAAACAAGGUUUGGAAAGGAGAUAGAUGGUUAUGAUGCUGUUAUCAGAGAAAAUGGUGCUCCAAUCCAGAUCUAUUCAGACCAUGUUGGCAAAAAGAGUACAUUCCGUGUUCUUAAUAGGGGAUCUGCCAAAGCUCUUGAUAAAGUUGUGGAGUUAGAUGAAAGAAGGAGGGAGGUCUUGAUCAUUAAAACGACAAUUCAUGAUAUCAUGAGGAAAAUGAUACUGGAUAUUCCAAUAAAAAAUCCUGUAUAUCUCAUGCUGGGUGCAUCCUUUGGUUCAGCAGCUAAAGGAACUGGGCUCAAGGCUCUUGAAUUUGCUCUCUCUAUUUGCUAAUCAGUAGAUAUGUAUGGCUUCACUGUGGAUCCCGGUUAUAAAGAAUGGACUAGAUAUUUCUCAGAAUCUCGACAAGGUCAUACUCCUUUGCAUGGUAGGGCUUAUUAUCAAAUGAUGGAAUGUUUGGGACUGAUCAAAAUCCAUUCUCCUAUGCGAGCUGAUCCAAAUCGUGUCAUCAAAUGGGUACCAAGCCAAGGCAGAAUUAGAGCUGCUAGAAUUGCAUCAGAGAAAUUAUUGAGGAGGGUUGGAGGUGCGUCAGGUGACCCACUUGCCUCGUGUUCAAUCAUUAAGAAGCAAGUUGCGAGAAAGCCUAUAGCAUUGUCAAACAUCAGAAAGGCGGCUGCUGACCAUCAAAAAUUUGUGAAGGGCACAACCAUGUACCCGCUAGAGCAGAGUCUUGGACAAGGGUACUUUGCACAGUGCCAGCCAAUUAAAUCACGCAGAGCUGACUGAUAUGUGAUUUAUAUCAGUUUUUCUAUCAGCAAUUGGAUGAAGAAAUAGUUGCAGGUCGAUGAUUGUUGAGUUUAUUCCGGAAGCAGCUAGUAUCUGUCAGUCCAUGUUAAAGAAUUUGGCCAAGGCGUUGAAGAUUUUUCACGCCUCGGCCUUUUGUAAAAGCUUCACUAGUUCCCCCCAUAGGCGGAUGGCAAUUGGGUUGCAGGUGGAGGAUAUGCUUCCGUUCCUUCUAAAUGCACUUGUUUCAGCUGAAAGAAUGUUCAAGAGAUUGCGAGUACGCAGAAAAGGGUUUCUUUGUAACAGUCAUUCCUUUUUAUUUUAACGGGAAAAAUAAAAAAAGCACAAAAUUUGUCAAUUUUAUUGGUUUACUUUUCCUUUUGUAAGUGAAUUUUUCUACAAUAUAUUGGCAAUUCGUCAAAUAUUUCAAAUUCUGUCUAA